UCCAAUCUAAACCUCCACUUUCAACAUCAACCGCCCCAAUCUCCAUCGCAGCCACCGCCAUCGCCGUAGCCGCGAUCCUAAGCACCACUCCAUCGUCCCUCGCCGACAACGGCGCCGGUUUCAACGUCUACUACGGCACUGCCGCCAGCGCCGCCAACUACGGCGGUCUUGGCGGCAACGCCAGCAAGAAAGACACAGCGGAAUACAUCUACGACGUGCCGGAAGGCUGGAAAGAGCGAUUAGUAUCCAAGGUCGAGAAAGGUACGAACGGAACCGACAGUGAAUUUUACAAUCCGAAGAAACGAACAGAGAAAGAAUACCUAACUUUCCUGGCUGGAAUCCGGCAAUUAGGGCCGAAGGAUGUGAUUCUGAAUAACCUAGCUUUAUCGGACGUGAAUUUGCAGGAUCAGAUCGCGAGCGCGGAGAGCUUCUUGGCGGAGGAGAAAAAGGAUGAGAAUGGACAGAUUUAUUAUGUGUAUGAGAUCGACGGCGCCGGAACUCACAGUUUGAUAUCGGUGACUUGUGCGAAGAACAAACUGUAUGCGCAUUUUGUGAAUGCGCCGACGCCGGAGUGGAAUCGGGACCAGGAUAUGCUCCGGCAUGUUCAUGAGUCGUUCAAGACGAUCGGAUCGUAUUAGCUAGCUUUUGUGGGCAUCGUCGGAGAUUUGAUCGGAGAGUGUAUGAAUUGGUAAUUAUAUGCUUAUUCUUGAAUGAUGAAAUCUGAUGCUUUAACUUCGGCCUUCACCCUCAUCUCUGUUUUCAGAAUUUCGUCAAGAAUUUCAAAAGUUUUG
rnacentral:misc_RNA from 1 species